rnacentral:tRNA from 1 species
AAGUGAGGAGCGAGAGAAUUUGCGUUUAGUUUCGACCUAAAAGAUUGGUGUUAACUCUUACUUU